rnacentral:rRNA from 1 species
UACGUAGGGGACAAGCGUUGUCCGGAAUUAUUGGGCGUAAAGCGCGUGUAGGCGGCCAAGUAAGUCAGACGUGAAAUCCCUCGGCUCAACCGGGGAACUGCGUCUGAUACUGGGUGGCUUGAAUCCGGGAGAGGGAUGCGGAAUUCCAGGUGUAGCGGUGAAAUGCGUAGAUAUCUGGAGGAACACCGGUGGCGAAGGCGGCAUCCUGGACCGGCAUUGACGCUGAGGCGCGAAAGCCAGGGGAGCAAACGGG